AUACGUAGGUGGCAAGCGUUGUCCGGAAUUAUUGGGCGUAAAGCGCAUGUAGGCGGUUUGGUAAGUCGGUCGUGAAAAUGCGGUGCUUAACGCCGUAUGGCGAUUGAAACUGCUGAACUUGAGUGCAGGAGAGGAAAGGGGAACUCCCAGUGUAGCGGUGAAAUGCGUAGAUAUUGGGAAGAACACCGGGGGCGAAGGCGCCUUUCUGGACUGUGUCUGACGCUCAGAUGCGAAAGCCAGGGUAGCGAACGGGAUUAGAUACCCCGGUAGUCCUGGCUGUAAACGAUGGGUACUAGGUGUGGGAGGUAUCGACUCCUUCCGUGCCGGAGUUAACGCAAUAAGUACCCCGCCUGGGGAGUACGGCCGCAAGGCUUAAACUCAAAGGAAUUGACGGGG
rnacentral:rRNA from 1 species